rnacentral:rRNA from 1 species
CAGUAGCCGCGGGAAUACGUAGGGUGCAAGCGUUAUCCGGAAUUAUUGGGCGUAAAGAGCUCGUAGGCGGUUUGUCGCGUCUGCUGUGAAAACUGGAGGCUCAACCUCCAGCCUGCAGUGGGUACGGGCAGACUAGAGUGCGGUAGGGGAGAUUGGAAUUCCUGGUGUAGCGGUGGAAUGCGCAGAUAUCAGGAGGAACACCGAUGGCGAAGGCAGAUCUCUGGGCCGUAACUGACGCUGAGGAGCGAAAGCGUGGGGAGCGAACAGGAUUAGAUACCCGCGUAGUCCCUGUCUCUUAUAU